CGGGGUCUUAGAUCUGGUGGCCUUUUUUGCUAUACCUGCUGCUCUGCUGUUGUCGACAAAGACGACUGGAGCGGGGGGAGCAGGAGCAGGAGCGGGAGCAGGAGCGGGAGCGGGAGCGGGAGCAGGAGAAGGCAUUUGAAUGACAGGAAGGGGAGCGGGAGAAGAAGAAGGCAUUUGAAUGACACAUCUGGGGACAGGUGGCCCGUGAGGAGGAAAUGUUGCUACCGGUGGCAGUGACUUUAGGCUCCCUGGCUGACUUGGAGGAGCACUUUUUCAGAAUUCGGAAGAGCAGGUUGUUCAAGAUCCUUGAGAUGUUGUCCCAAGUGAACUCUGGAGUUGCAAAUGGAGGCUCGGGGCACUUAUUACACCUCUGAGCAAACACCCUCAUCUUCACCCGCCCCCUGGCCUUCUUCUCACACCACCGCAUGUGGAAGACUAUCAGGACUCGGCCAGAGGCCCAACUUCGAGAGCAGGAAGAGCAGUGGAACCUGUGGAGGAGAGGGCCAGAGUUUUAGCUGAGCUGUGGGCAGAUGCAAGAGGGAGGAGUUUCCCGCUAGCUGUGACAGAAGCUGUUUCUCCACUGUAUCACCAACAGGCCCUGGGACCAUCACCAGGUACCUACUGUGCAAACAGCACACAAACCAUCGGACUUAGAAGGAAUCCAGGACAUUUUCUAAGUCCAGUGUGUACAUUUCAGAGGCAAAGCACACACUGGGAACACAUCAUGCCCAGGACUUGGGGCUUAAGAGUUAGGACUGGCCAGGCGGUGGUGGAGCACACCUUUAAUCCCAGCACUUGGGAGGCAGAGGCAGGCGGAUCUCUGAGUU